rnacentral:rRNA from 1 species
UACGUAGGGUGCGAGCGUUAAUCGGAAUUACUGGGCGUAAAGCGUGCGCAGGCGGUUUUGUAAGCCAGAUGUGAAAUCCCCGGGCUUAACCUGGGAACUGCGCUUGUUACUGGCAAGCUGGAGUGUGGCAGAGGGGGGUGGAAUUCCACGUGUAGCAGUGAAAUGCGUAGAGAUGUGGAGGAACACCGAUGGCGAAGGCAGCCCCCUGGGCUAACACUGACGCUCAUGCACGAAAGCGUGGGGAGCAAACAGG